CACAAAGACACUUCACCCACGAGCCCAGCUAGGAGACAUCCUCUAUGAAAAGUGGAGCAACAAAGAGAAGAAGAAGAAAAGCCAAAUCUUACCUGGCAGCAGGAAUCCCCAGAGAUGGUGCCUACCAGUUUUCAUAGGUGGUGAUACCUUGACUGGAACUCUCCCAAAACCACUUGGAGGAGGUAUUUUCCAUUAUGGAGAGAUUGCUUAGACUCCAGAGGAGUGUCACCCUUCCUUUAUGAACUAAUUACAGCAGUUCCUCAGAAAUGACCGUACUUAUGUCCUCGACAAUGCUUUUCAAGAUGCUCAGAGUGAAUGAACACCAGAUCCUCCCUAAAAUUCAGUACGUUAACCUGACAGAAAGCCUCGUCCAAGUAGGAAUUUCUUAUUUUCCAGGCCUUGCAGGCCAUGGAUGUCCCAUGGAAAGGCAAUGCAGUACAUCACCUAGCACAACUCACCAGCAGGGACUGAGACAUGAGAAACGAAUCCCUACCAAUUAAAUUAUAACAUUGGGCAUGACAUCUCUUGAUUAUCACUUUUCAGUGCCUCCCUCAGCACAAUGACACAAAACCCACUGGAAGCUUGCUGGACAAUCAACCAGACAAGCAAGGUUUUGCUUUCCUAGAGUCCUAAAAGAAAUUGCCUCCUUCUGUAAACUUAUUCUGUAAUUGGAACAACAUCUCUAAAGCAGCUACAGGACAAAGAACCAGACUGAAGCUUGUUCCUUGAGGUCUGUUUUCUUUGCAUUCUUACUUUGUAUGAGUAGCAGGAAAUUAGAAGCCAGGCCACCUUCAUUUCUAAAGCACAGGUUAAAUUAAUAAUACUUACAAAGCUUUGUCUAGCCAGAGGGAAUGGCUGUGACAAGAAUAAUCUUCAUACACAGUUACACUGAUAACACAGCAGGUUUGUGGGCCAGCCUUUGGAAGCAUGAAAUGUCUUCCUUACUAAAAGACAUUUAAAAAAAAAAAGUAUUCAAAAAAAAAUGCACUUUCAUCUGCUAGAAGGAAAAUACUGUUCAAAACCACAAACCAAAACAUAUAAAUAUCACCUUAAAUCUGAAUUCAAGUGAUUCCUACAGUCCAACAGAGAAUACAUUUGCAACCCUUAAUAUUGUGCUGCAAAGCAAAGUUACUUAUAAACGCUUGGUGGAAUGAGUCUUCAACUACUCUCAUUGAAACUUAGCCAAAUGCUCCUUUAAUAUUUUAUUUUUGCUGACGUGUAAACGCUCCAACCCUGCAGAACAAAUACUGUAAAUGUGCAGCUUGCAGUCAAUGAGAGGUAGGAAGGGAAGACAUUUGCAGUUUACUAAUAAGGCAUCCUAGUUUCACUGCCUAUAAAAUUUUAAUUGCUUUAGUUAUGCUACUCUACUGCUAUGGAUUAUUAAUUUCUGGACAUUAAUUUUCCUCUUCUUUUUGUUGCCAGUCCUAGGAACAGGCUUGGUAAGAACGUAAAUGAGUAGGAACCCACUGCCAGAACAAACCUUGGGUACCCAUUCCGCACCAAGAACCAGAGAGAAAUUACACAUUUUGGCUUUUAGAAGCUCUUGGAGAUUGCUGGGGGAAAUUUUCAGCCUUGGGGACUUUUUUGCCCAACUAAGGGCUACCAGAUCUAUCCUCAGAGAAUAGUUUUCUUACCAAAGGACAGCAAAGAAAUAGAAAAACGUUCCAAUUAUAUUUUGGACCUGUCUAACUUCUUGUUAUUAGGAUAUGCAAAGGUCCUACUGAAUAGUCUCUUUACUCUGACGUGCUCAUCAAACCAUUCCUGAUAUUUACAUUUUCAGCCCCUUGCAUGAGACAUAAGGAAGAAAAAUUUUCAAAAAUAGGAGUGGCAGUAAAGGCCUUUCUUUACUGCACCCUGACCACAAAGCAGUAUCACCUCCUCUGUGAAUGCUCUCUGUGCUGGGUACCUGAGGCAAUGUUUAGGAGGGUGGGCAAUGGCUGCACAUUACCUUGCGAGCACUUGCAGAAGGUGACUGAUCAGGUAAAAUGGCUCAGAGGUUUUCCUUCCUGAAUGGUUAGUAAAAAAACUAAGCAGAAAAUCAAGCAAAAAAAAAAAAAAACCCAAACCAACUGCCCCUGCCCUCAAAUGGCAGUCAGCCAGUUUUAAUGAACCAUUUGAACAGAAUUACUAUGUAUUUUUAUACAGCACCACACUUUGCAAAGAUGCCAGAGGGCCCUGUGAGACCUGUUUGUGAGGGAGUACAGCAAACAGGACAAAUGAGAAAUCCAGUGAUGUGACAUUCUUCAGGGCAGGAAGCAUUUGCACCCACUGGAGCUUUGGAGAGAAUUUCUGUGUAUAAAGAUGUAAUAAGUGAAAAUGCAACUUGUCCAGCUACCAGAGAUGAAUACCAUUAAUCUUAAAAAUAGUCCCAUAGCACUUUCCUUAAUGAAGAUAAGCUCUUUGAAGUAGGUUUAAACCCAAAGAUUUUGCCUAGAAAUGUAGAGAGAGAAGGUGCCAAGAAUUGAGCAGAAGAGCUGAUUACACUGAAGGUGUUGAAUUUGUAGAAUAUGAUGCCUUUGGCAAGAACAGUGAUAAAAAAAUCACCAUGUGCAAGGGAUUGAGAAGGGAAGUAAUUUAUCAGCAGCAGCAACAAAAGGCACAUUAAAUGAAGCCAUUGUGCAGAUCAAACAGGCACCUUUUGCUGUGUAUUUCCUGGCUGAAGACAAGCAGGUGCUGCAGCAACCUUUCAUCUGUGGCAGACUUCCAAACCAUUCUGCCUGUGUCUAUCCCAGGCUGUGCAGUGAUCAUAGCUGGCAAUCCACAUUGGGUGUGACACAAACCAUCAGAACUUUCAGCUUGACUUGAAACUCACACAUUUCCUCUUGAAUUAAUGCAAGGUUCCUAUCACCUCUGGGCAGUGAAGCUGUUCAACAAAACAGUUCAUUUUGACAACUUCCACUGCAGCACGCCAGGUCUCUGGGAAUUCAGUGUGGAGUGGAUAAAAAUUCCCCUUUGGAUGGUGUGAGAUGGCAACCCCAGAAGCCAGGGCAGCACCUGCAAGUUACCCUCCUGUCAAAGUUGUUUGCUCUUCCACCCCUGCAUUAACCCCUGAGGAGGGGCAAAGCUCCUCCAUCUGGGGAGCCCGUGGUGGCAUCAGGCUGAUUCCCACAGGAUUUUGGUGAGAUAAUUGAAGACACAUUGAAAGAAAGCAUUGCCAAACAAAGCCCCAACAGUUCUCUGCGAACUGUGUUUGCAGUGAAACACUUCGAGUGCUUUUAGGCAACCGGAUUUGCCCAAGCCAUUGAGGUAAUUUGAACACCUGGAAAAUGCAACAUUUAAUUGAGCUGUGAGGGGCUGUGCGUCAUGGCCUUCUUUAUGCUUUAGAGAACCCCAGCAGAGGCAGGCUCAUGUGUGGUCUCAUUAGCAGAUUCACUCUUCUGCCCUGUGUUUCACUGCUCAGCUCUUCCCAUGGGAACCUCUCGCUGUUUGAAGAGCUCCAGAGAGGGUUUGGUGAUUUGCAGACAAGUGCAUUCCUUACCUUGGUAGCCCCUGCUCUUUGUGGUGAGAAGGAGCGAGGCGAAAGCUUUUCUUUGCUACUCCAGUUGCAUUCCCCUCUGUGAAUUUUAGCAUCCAUUCAUUACAUGCCAUUGAGAUAUUAAGUGUUUGGGACAGACCAGCUGCUGGCUUAGAAGCAGUUCCCUUGGAAUAGGUGUAGAUAUAUUUUACUUUUCUCCUGAAAGUAAAAUGAUUCUGUAAAGUAAAAAUUCAUUCUCCAGUGAUUCUGACUUGUAUCUUCCUAAUCACUGCCUGCUACAAAUUUCCUUCCAUUUUUUUUCCAUUCAAAAUUUUAGCCAGAGGACAAAUAAACUGGGGGGCAUUUGAAAGCUGACAGCCAGAUAUGUGGCAGAUACUCUUGAGGAUUUUGAAAUCUGUUGAUUUUUCACUAUAGGAAAAGAGGCUUUGAACACAUGGUUGAUCUAGAUAAUCUUUAUGCAACCACUUCAAAUCAAUUAGCUGAAGAGCUUCCAGGUCUUUGAUGAAAGUAGAUAAUAAAACUCUAAAAAUGGGUAAAAUUUUUGACAGCUGUGAGAUACUUUUUUUUGAAAUUAUAAACAGUGAGCAAAGACAGUAGCUAGGUGUCAAUUCUAGCCCGCAUAAAAGACUAGUAAAAUUUGACACUGAAAAAUGACAGCAUACUUAUCAAUGUAAUGGCAAGAAAAUUCAUUUCACUCACUGAUGUCCCACUUCAACAGAUCACUGCCAUGAUUAAUAUGGGAAGCUAUUAAGGUAACACAUUUCAUUUUCUCUGGAAGCAUUCAUCAGUCACUGUGCGUUGCUGACUGCUGCCAUGUAAAACUGACCACAUCCAAUCCAAACUGAUGGGAUUGAGCAGCACACUGAUGACGGACGCUGAAAUACUGGCUAUCAUUAAAGAAGAAUGGUUACAAUGAGGCUUUCCACAGAUUGGCUGAGUCACAAAGGAUUUAACACGGGAUUUAUUAGUAAUCUGAAGCAAAGUGCAGAAUUCUGCAGGUAAAAGUCUCAGGAAAUCAGAUACCAAUAAAGAUGAGCUUGGGUCACUAGCACACACCAAGCAGCUAAAAUGCUAAUUCAAUAUGUACAAGCUUUCACUGGAUUUGAAUCAGAGUCUAAAGAGGCUACUAGUCAUUUGUAGUCUGACACAAACUGAAAGCUGGGCACUGAAAGCAAUUUUGUUCAAUAAAGGAAAAAGAAACACAGCCCACAGGAUACCACAGAAUUAUAUUUAUGUUGUACAUUUGUCUUCACAUUGCAACAUCCACAUUGUUCAUUUUGUGACAAGUAUUUCUAAUAAUUUUGAAUACAUAUUUACUGUAUAAUACAUUUUACCAAGAGGCACUUCCAGUAAUUCUGGCAAAAAGGAGCUUCAUUAUAGUGUCUAACUUACAAAACAGUAAAAAUAAAUAAUGUUUAUCUAAAAGAUUUUUUUUUUCCUGUACAGAAUCUAUUUUGUACAAAACAUUUAUCAGCCAUUAACUAAAUCACUUAACAAAUACUUGUGAAGAGAAUAUAUUAAGUAUUGCUACAUGUAUUGAGUGCAAGAUACUAGUGAAAGGAAAAGAAUUAUUCUGUUUAUGAAAAUCACCUAAAAAUACAAGGCCUUGUUCCUGAAGUGUUUAGAAAGGAGAAGCUUGGUUACAACAAUAUUGACAAUAUAUAAAUAUAAAUUAAUGUAUGUAGUACUUAGUGAAAAGAACACUGUGUUAAAAACUGGCGUGUACAAAUCCUAAACAAGAUGGCACUUCUCUGCAUUGCCACUUUGGCUGGCAGUUAUUUUUUAAAAUAUUGCUUCAAAAGAAUUAUAAAGGUACACAAAACCCUUUGUCAAAUAGAGCCGUAUAAAAUUACACCCCCCCCCCCCCCCAUCUUUUUCUCACCUUUGGAAGUGAAAAAAAAAAUCAAGGAGGGAUUAAAUUUGUAAUACACGAGUGAUUUGUGGAAACCUGCUACUAUAGCUGAGUCUGAGUAAGCAUCAUUAAAAUAAUUCUGCCCCAAGGUCCCAGACCAGGAGCCAACCCUCACAGGACAGGAUGUAAGAUCACCAAAUUUCUCAGUUUUUCCUGAAGUAAACAAACCAAAUUGUCUGGCCUGUUGUCAAUUUUCAAAUUAAAAAAAUUUAUAUAAUUUGGCCCUCAAAUCGGGUGGGGGUCAAGUGCUUCAAUUAUACUGGCACACCCGAAAUUUUAAUUUAGAAAGGGUUGUAAUCUUGCUAGGUUAAUUUCUUGAUUACUUUAUCAAAAAGGGAUUUGUAAUUUUUUCAAUCACAUCUUCGACAUAAUAUACAUACUUGCUCAUCAUUACCCAGACAGGCCAAACUGCAUUGGAAAAGAAUCAUUUUUGGAAGGUAUUUCUUCCACCACUGGAGGCAAAGGUGAAAAAAAUGUGGUUUUGUUGGAAAAUAUCCUAGAUGUUCUUCUAUCAAAAGCACUAAAAAGGAAAAAAAAAACUGCCACCCAUCAGUGAAAAUGUUAAUCUGUUAAACAAACGUAACCCACAGUAUGAAUCACUGCUUUUUGAAAAGUGAACUUAAAUUACUUUCCAUCAUGCAAACAUCUGAUAUUGAUUAUUCAAGAGAAGAAGACUUAACUUUAGAAAAGUAAUGAUCAAAAGUACGCUGACAUGGUUGAGAUAUUAAAGAUUUCAUCAACAUCACAGAGCAGUUAUGAACGUUGCCUUUGAUCUUUUGGGACACCAUCUGCAGUACUGUACCAAGGUUUACAAACACCUACAAAUCCACAUUUUGCAUUCAAAUACAGGGUUUUGUUGUGUUUCAGGAUCAGGCAGGAAUUUUGGGAAGGAAAGUCAGCUUCACCAGACUUCAGCAGCCUUUCUACCUAGAGCAGUAUGUACACACAUGGCAAACCCCUCCCUGUUUUCUCUCUGACCAGAUCACAGAGCUUCUUAAUUUUUAAUUUUUUAGGAAAGCAUUAGGUGAAAAUGACUAGGGUCAGAGGAGGAAAAUGAAAAGCACCACCAAAACCUCCCAAGUCCUUUAAAUACAACCUUAAAAGCAAAGAGCAGUUGCUAAUUCACAUCGAUUGUUUCUAAGCUUUGCUGCAGUACAGGAAGACAGUGUUGAAAACUGAGCUAUUAUUUGAUCUGAUUUCCAUGGUUUUGCCUCAGGACAAGAGAAUUCAGCCAUAAAAGGACACACAGCCUGCAGCUGUGGCAAAGUCCUGUGUAUCUGCCCUUAUGCUUCCACACAGAGAGCAGGAAUAUUUGGUUUCCCCAACUAAUUCACUGCUCUCUCCACACCUGCAGGUUUCAGGGGUGCUCCCCAGAGCACACAGACUCCCCCUGGCAUCCGGGGCAGAACAAUUCUCCUCUGCUGCCCCAUUCCCCCAUCUCAGACAUACUGCACACACAGCUUUGGAAGCAAGAAACCACUGGCACAGACUGGCAACCUGAAAAGCUCAAAUGAAUUUUUUUUUUCCCCCUCCACUUCCACCAAGUAAAGUUUUCCUUGAUGAAAGAGAAUUAAAUAACUUCAGUCAAAAGUUCUUCUUGAUUUACUACACCCUUCAGCUUGACAGACCACACCCAAGGCCAGCUGGUUUUCCCUGGACUCAGCAGCAGUUUUACAGGAGCAAGCACUGGGGGGAAUGUCUGCAUACACCUCAGUGACACUGGCAGGGUUUCAGACUGCACAACGCUUGCCGUUUCAUUUUUAUCAAAGAACUGUUGUUAACUGGCUCGAGCUCUUGCCGCCUUUUGUCACUGUGAAAUGAACUCUGCAGAAAUGCACCAGCACCGUUCUGCCCCCAGGCUCCUGAGGAGCUUGUCCUAAGGGCUCACUCAGGUGACAUCCGCAUCCUGCUGAGGUGGCGAGAUGCAUUUUUCAUCAAAAGAACACCUGCCUGCCAGGAAAAUCCCACUAAUGGCCUCUGAAUAAAUCAUAGCUGGGCUGUAAAUGGAGAAUAAUUCUCACACUGCUCCCUCCAACACUGGGACUCAAUAUCUACCACAGCAGGGGCUAAACCCUGCUUUGAUUUACCUGCAGAGGAAUGUUGUUUUGCUAAAAGAAAGUGAUGAAAUUCAAAGAAAGAUCUAUCAUACUAAAUUGCUCUCAAAAGAACUGGUGCUACUUUGCUCUAAAUCAAAGUUUGACUCCAAUAAUCAAUAAUUUUGCCAGCUCUUCCAAUGUUUCUUAAGACAGCUCUCACCUAAUUUCCAUGAUUCUUUCAUCUGUUCAAAAUCACUUAACGCGUAUGGUUCUCCAAGAUCCCUGGAUGUUCUUACUUGUUGAUUCACUGAAAAACAGGAAAAAAAGAAGACUCUCCUGCUCUAAUUAAUGGGAAUAAUUAUCUUCUCUUUAACACUGCCAUCAUUUUGACUAAUACUGCAACAUCAAACAGCAAUUAACCUCCCAGAAACUCCAUGUUACUCCAUUUCAGAAGGAUUAUGUUUGCUUUUGAAAGAAAAGGAAAAUAAAUUUUGUUUUAUAAAGUCUGGUUGAGAAUGGACUGUGAUUUCCUCUCCUCCUUCCCACAGAAUGCAGGUUUCACUUCCCUCCUGCCUGUGUACAACCCUGUCCACUCGAGGCCUGGAACUCCCAACAUCCAGGGCUGAGGCUGGGCAGAGCAGGCAGAGAGGGGAAUCCUUCACUCUAGGAACCUGCUUCUGUCUAAUCUUCUGCCCACGAGGCCAUGGGAUGCUCAGCAACUUCUCCUCCUUAAAGGAAACCUUCCUUCCUUCCACGUGAUGUUGGAACAUCUCAGUGGUGGCAGGACUCACAGGGACUUUGCACAAGAACUUCAUUAACAAACAGCACCAGCCACGAAGCUUUUGCUGCAUUAGACUUGUGGCUCAGCUUUCAAAAAUGCUUAGGGUUCCUUUUGAAAACUGACAAAAUUCUCUAGGAUUCCAAGUCCAGCCAGGCUCAGGUUGCUGACAGCUCCCCCACACCUACUCAGCUCACAGAUCAGCAGUGCUGGAUGCCCACACAGACUCCUCAUAGGCUCUGAUGCUUAAAUUGGCAAGAUCCUUGCCUUCUUCACUCUGCAUUCUACUUCCCUGGGCAUUUCUGAACAAAGAUGGGGCCAGAAUUUCAGAAAAAAAAAUCUAGCAAAACAAAGCAGACAGAAAUCUACAAUUUAAAGAAAACAAAUGAACUUUAUGCCAAGUGGAAUGCAUAGAAUGGGACUUGGGAGGGAAAUUUGCUUAGAUGCCAAAUAGUACCUUUAAAAGCAUAUAUUUGAACCUCUGUAGCUUUAGCUUUUUUCCAGAUUCAGACCACCAGGAUAUUAAGAAAUUCUAACAGUGGUGCACUAAUGGUAAAGCCCUAAAUCCAUCUUUAGGCUGAUGAUGGUGCAGAGAGAAGUCCACACAUGAUGUCAGAAGAAAAACUGAUGAAAACUAUCCUUGCAUUAUUAACAAAAGCAUUCUCAAAUCACAUCUUCCCUGGGAACCAUUUCCUGCCAUAAUAUGGCCACGUUUGCCAUGAGAACCAGGCCCUCACAGGGGAGGCCUUUGGUGACACACAGCUCUGCGUAAAAGAUUUUAUUCACAGAAGGCAGCCAUCCAAAAUCCUGUCAAAAGCACAGCAAACUCCCUCUUUCCUGGAUUGCUGCAACUCACUUCUGAUGCACAGCUUGCAACAUCUCAUCAAACACCAUCGUUCCUACUGGAGGGAGUAGAUGAUUUUCAGAGACAAGUGUCAAAAUGUCCUGCACAUUAGCUAAAAACAAACCAAGAUUUUAGAAUUAGAGCAUAAAUAUAGAGCAUAGUAAACUAUGGAUGGUGGAAACUAUUGUUUUUAGACACAGCAUUUCUGGUUUCUUAAAAGCUAAUGUCUUACACUCCUCCUAAAAAGUAAUUAAAUUGUUUGGGGCUUUCACACUCCCAUGUGUUCCCUCUGCAAGUGUAAGGAGAGAAGUUAUAUUCCAUGGUAAACACCACGUGGCCAUCAGCAGAAGUGCCAGUAUAGGGAUAAAAGUGUUUACAUGUGAUUGCUACAUGACACACAGAGUCCUUUUGUCACUGCACUGGGAGCUGCAAGCACUGCAAAAGUAUUUCAAGCAAACUCCUAGACUAGAAGGGAACAGGAUCAGACCCUAAGUGCCAAUAAAGUGGGGAAAACAAAAUAUCCAAAUGGGAGAAAUCAUCUAGUCUUUAUCUUCUUGUUUUUAAAGAACAGAAAACUAAAGUACUUUGGGUUUGCCAUUGCAAAACACCAUUUAAAUGGGGGUUGCUUUCUUUAGUGUCUACCACACUGCUUUACAUAUGGUAAGUACUCGUAUCAACAUUGUAAACAUCCCACCUAAAACAAGAGCAUUUUGCUGAUUGAAUACCAUUACUUUUCUUUUAUUUAGUUUUUCUUCCUAAAAUAUUUCUUAGGCUGUGGAUUAUUUGUUUCUAGCAACACCAAAGGACUCCAUACAAAGUGGAAAAUCUUCUGCCUCCAAAAGGCUGCUCUAACUGCAGGUGAAAAGUUUUUGCCUCCUUUGGAUUAGAAAAUACUAAAAAGCCCCCUAAAUUACCUGCUUCAUUAUCUAUGAGCCCCAAAGCACAAAAAAAAAA